UACGGAGGGAGCUAGCGUUGUUCGGAAUUACUGGGCGUAAAGCGUACGUAGGCGGUUAUUCAAGUCAGAGGUGAAAGCCUGGAGCUCAACUCCAGAACUGCCUUUGAAACUAGAUAGCUAGAAUCUUGGAGAGGUGAGUGGAAUUCCGAGUGUAGAGGUGAAAUUCGUAGAUAUUCGGAAGAACACCAGUGGCGAAGGCGACUCACUGGACAAGUAUUGACGCUGAGGUACGAAAGCUAGGGGAGCGAAUGGG
rnacentral:rRNA from 1 species